rnacentral:tRNA from 1 species
GGCGGCGUAGCUCAGUUGGUUAGAGCGCAGGACUCAUAAGCCUGAGGUCGGAGGUUCGAGCCCUCUCGCCGCUACCA